AAUAUUGGACAAUGGGGGCAACCCUGAUCCAGCGACGCCGCGUGUGUGAAGAAGGCCUGCGGGUUGUAAAGCACUUUUAGUGGGGAUGAAAAGUACAUCGCUAAUACCGGUGUAUCUUGACCUAACCCAAAGAAAAAGCACCGGCUAACUCUGUGCCAGCAGCCGCGGUAAUACAGAGGGUGCGAGCGUUAAUCGGAAUUACUGGGCGUAAAGCGUGCGUAGACGGUUAUUUAAGUCGGGUGUGAAAGCCCCGGGCUCAACCUGGGAAUUGCAUUCGAGACUGAAUAGCUAGGGUACGGUAGAGGGAAGCGGAAUUUCCGGUGUAGCGGUGAAAUGCGUAGAUAUCGGAAGGAACAUCAGUGGCGAAAGCGGCUUCCUGGACCAGUACCGACGUUCAGGCACGAAAGCGUGGGGAGCAAACAGGAUUAGAUACCCUGGUAGUCCACGCCAUAAACGAUGAGGACUAGACGUUGGAGGGGUAAGCCUUUCAGUGUCGUAGCUAACGCGC
rnacentral:rRNA from 1 species